rnacentral:rRNA from 1 species
GACGAACGCUGGCGGCGUGCUUAACACAUGCAAGUCGAACGGUGAGGGGACCAGCUUGCUGGUUCUGGAUGAGCGGCGAACGGGUGAGUAACACGUGAGUAACCUGCCUCCUUCUCCUGGAUAACUGCGUGAAACUGUGGCUAAUACGGGAUAUUCUGUGUCUCUCGCAUGGCCGGCCCGGGAAAGCUAUUGUUCUGGUAGGGGUUGGGGUAGCGGCCUAUCAGCUUGUAGGUGGGGGGGUGGCCUACCAAGGCGGUGACGGGUAGCCGGCGUGCGGGGGGGGACGGUUGGACUGGGACUGCGACACGGACCAGAAUGGUACGGGGGGCAGGAGUGGGGAAUGCUGCGCAAUGGGGGCAAACCUGAUGAAGCGACGCCGGGUGAGAGAUGGAGGCCUUCGGGUUGUAAACCUCUUUGGCCAGUGAAGCAGGCCUGCUCCUUGUGGGUGGGUUGACGGUAGCUGGAGAAGAAGCGCCGGCUAACUACGUG